AUUGAACGCUGGCGGCGUGCCUAACACAUGCAAGUCGAGCGGUAACAGGUGUAGCAAUACAUGCUGACGAGCGGCGAACGGGUGAGUAAUGCUUCGGAAUCUACCCAAUGGUGGGGAAUAACCAGCCGAAAGGUUGGCUAAUACCGCAUACGUCCCACGGGAGAAAGCAGGGGAUCGCAAGACCUUGCGCCAAUGGAUGAGCCGAAGUCGGAUUAGCUAGNGGUAGGGUAACGGCCUACCAAGGCGACGAUCCGUAGCUGGUCUGAGAGGACGACCAGCCACACUGGGACUGAGACACGGCCCAGACUCCUACGGGAGGCAGCAGUGGGAAUAUUGGACAAUGGGGGAAACCCUGAUCCAGCGACGCCGCGUGUGU
rnacentral:rRNA from 1 species